UCGCUUGAUGCGGAGGCUCCAGGCUAGGUUUGACAGGACCGAGGCUAGGUUUGACAAGAUCAAGUCAUUGGUGGAGACCAACGCCCCGACACACACGCCUCAACUCCAGCAAGAAGAUGUGGUGUUGGCUAAACCAUGCAGCAUGGUGAUGGAGCUGCUGGAGUUGGAGAGGAGUCUGGAACAACCAGACAAGAGGAACAAGAUGCAACAUUUUCUUGAAACUGUCGGAGGGGCAGGUUUAGGGGCAACCAUUCACCGUAUGCUACGCUGAGUGGCAAAUAAUGAGGUACUCGCCCAGUACAGCUUGCGGGGCAGACGGGCCAAAAUGUCCUUUGAUGACCUCAUUCUGUGCAAGAUUAUAAAGGCUGCAUGUGUCAAAAAAUUUCCCGGCCAUAUGGAAGCUGAAGUGGAGGAAUGUCUUGGGCAGACUCUAAAAUUUGCACCACACAGACGAUCAGCUGGUCAGCAGCAACGGGUGAACAGUGAAUUUUUAUUCUUUUUUUGUGAACAGUGAUUUUUAUUCUAUUUUUUUGUGAAGUGAUUUUUUUUUAUUCUAUUUUGUUUGUUAUUGAAUGCACAGUUACACUUUAAAAAACUGUUAUUUCUAUUUUAUUCUGUUUUGAAUGUGUUUUAUUGAAUGCACCGUUUCAGAAACUUUUCUAUUUUAUUCUGUUUUGUAUAUAUGAUUGU